AUACGACUUCUUCAAUUAUGGUAAGUAACAUCUGCUACUCCUUAGUCUAAUUAGCUUGUUUCAAUUGUUGAAUAGACCUACGAAGAAACUAGCUAGAGAAUCCAAAAACAGUCCCGAUCCGCCAUGGAUUCAUCCAAAGAUCGUAAAACGAUUUCUUAAACAGAUUUGAAUUGGGGCAAGUAGUUGUGUGUUCGAAGGUGGAAUUGGUGGCUGACUCGGAUUUGACCAACUUUGCCGAGUGAAAUUUCAUGCAAUUGCAUUUAUUGUUGAAAUGGGUGAGUUGCUUCGAUUUGAUUUGGGUGAGAAAGUUGAGAAGCGUAUCAGUGGUUUGGAAAAUGAGCUUAUUUCAUGGGUUUCUAAUAGAGAGGAAGAUGGCAGAGAAAGAUGUUUGUUUUUUCAUACAUUUAGCAACACUGUUGAUUUGUGCAUGUUCUCUUCACUUUAAUUCUUCUUUUUGUCCUGUUUAUAAAUUGCUCUUUGAUAAUUAAUUUGCAUUUUAGUUGAUGGUAA